rnacentral:lncRNA from 1 species
AUAUUUUCCUCUCUUUCCUUCUUCUCUCUCUCUCUCUGUUUACAUAGUUGUAGUUAUACUGUAUACAUUACUUUGUACUCUACUUUAUUUCACUUAACAUGACAACAUAAGCAUUUACCCACAUCAUUAAAACUCCCUGGUACCGAGAGCCCAGGUCUAUUUUUAUAGAGAAGCUUAAGUGAUUCUCAGUGGGCUCUGCUACCCAGCCUUAAUCACACAAAGACAAGUUAUCAGGUUCUCUCCAAAGUCCUGGCCUGCCGCUUGCCUACUGAGCAGGAAGCAGAACUAAGGCUGUCAUGGAGAGGAAGGACAGGCCAAAUACUGUUUGGCUGCCUGCUCCCUCCCACGAGCCAGCCUGCAGCCUGCUAAGUAAGGGGCCCUGCUGAUCCAGAAUUCUUUCUUGCAGAAACACAUACUGGCUUUGAACCAAGGAGGCAGGCUCACUGCUGCAGCAGCCCCAGGGGAAAAAUCCAGACACAGAAUAAAAAAGUAAACUAUGCCAGUGACUGUAUGGCAGUAUAGCAGGAUUGCUCAUCUUAAUUUCCAGAAAAGCGUCAUCCUAACUCACAGGCAAGACAAAGGCUGCCCAGCAGCCUUUACCCCUACUUUCCACACGGUGAGUGCACUGGAGGUUUCAAAAAGCCUGCGGACUAAGACCAGGAGAACAGCAGACACAGCCCACUGGGAAGCCCAUGAUGUUGACCCCAGAGUGGACUUGUGGACUCGUCAACUCGGGCCAGGCUCCUGGAGGUAUAUCUGGCUCAUGGCUCUGCAGACCAUGCAAACAUUAUGUCAGCAUCUGCUUCCAAAGAGGACUUCAGGCUGCUUCUGCUUACAGUGGAAGGUGAAGUGGAGCCCUGUGCAGAGAUUACGUCAUGAGAGGGGAAGCAAGAAAGAGGACAUGAAGGUGCCAAGCUCUUUUUUUUUUUUUUUGAGAUGGAGUCUUGCUCUGUCACCUAGGCUGGAGUACAAUGGCAUGAUCUCGGCUUACUGCAACCUCCACCUUCUGGGUUCAAGUGAUUCUCCUGCCUCAGCCUCCUGAAUAGCUGGGAUUACAGGUGCAUGCCACCACGCCCAGCUAAUUUUUUUUUUUUUUUAGUAGAGACGGGGUUUCACCAUGUUGGCCAUUGGUCUUGAACUCCGGACCUCAAGUGAUCUGCUCUUUUUAACAAUCAGCUCUCACAGGAACUAACAGAGUGAGAACUCACUCUCCCUUACUCUACCCAGGGAGGACAUUCAUCUGUCAUGAAGGAUUCACCUUCAUGACCUGAACACCUUCCAUUAGGCCCUACCUCUUAACACUGGGGAUCAAAUUUCAACAUGAGAUUUGGUGGAGUCAAACAUCCCAGCUAUGGCCAUGCCCACCUGCUGAGUGCAUAUUCACUGUGCACAACUGCUGUCUUCUGAAAAAGUUAUAAAAUGCAUUUUUGUGGAAAGAAUUUUAUUUUGAAUGCCUGAACAGAAUUUAAUUUAGAAGAAAUGUAUUGCAAGUUACCUUCAGGAACUGCCAGGUUAGCUGUGUGACCUCAGGCAAGUUAUCCAACUUCUCCAAGCAUCAGCUUCCCAUAGACAAAGCAGGGAGAACAGAAUAGCAGUGCCUACUUCAUCAGGCUGCUGUGGGAGUUAAAUGGCUGACACAUUUGAAGGGCUGAGGAUGUGAUGCUUGAGAGACGUGGGGUACAACCCUUGCAGCCCUUGGCAGGCUGAUGGUGCAGGCACUUUCCCUCAAGUGUCUGGGCCCUUCCCUGGCCCAGUGUCACCUGCCUCCCCAGAGCAAUUACCAAUCACAUCAAUAAGGGGUGCCCAGGGCACUUGCAGUCGUUUGCAGCCCUGCUCAGCAUCUGUCCAAGUCUGCAGCCACUGGGCAUUCUCAGCACCCAGCACUAUGUGCUCCUCCUAGAAGUCACCCAGUGAGCAUUUGAAGUGAACAAACAUCUAGCUGAAUGCUAACUUGGAGGAUUAGAUUUUAUACACAUGGCUAAUAAAGACCAUCCUGCCACAUCUUUUUUAGUGACCUUGCACAGCACCACACAUAGAGUGGGUCCCCAGUGAAUAAAUAUCCCUGGAUGAGUAAAAUGGGACUUGGUUCUCUGUAAAAAAAAGGUAUGCAUUUAAGAUCUUUCCGUUCAAUUUCCAGAGAGUUUUGUGAGCAGGUCUCCCUCCUGACUCUGAGGUGCUCUAGCAAACCCAGGUUCUGCACUUUCCUGACCCAGGCCACACUGGCCCCUGGGUGUCCUGUGCCAAGCUGGGGACAUAGCCUUUCUCAGUGAGUGGGCAGCCUACGCUAGGGUGUAGCUGAGGUCAGAAGCCUGGUGGAGUCUUGGCUGUCAUUCAGGUGAGUUUUGUGACUUACACAUUGUGGGGUGCCUGGUGGAGAGCUGUGGUGAGAGGAAAGACCUCAUGAAAGUAGGCAUCAUUGAGAGGCAGCAGCAGGGUGCAUGAAUCCUAAAACCAUUGGUGGUGAGGUGGUUAAAAGAUGUUUUCCCUGCUACAGCUAUUGUGACCACCUGACUUUUGUAGGGUAGGAUGGAGAAAACUGUAAGCACAGCUCAGGGCACCUUGAGCAUGCGGC